UUUUAUUUGAGAGUUUGAUCCUGGCUCAGGAUGAACGCUGGCGGCGUGCCUAACACAUGCAAGGUGAGCGAUUUACUUCGGUAAAGAGCGGCGGACGGGGGAGUAACGCGUGGGUAACCUACCCUGUACACACGGAUAACAUACCGAAAGGUAUGCUACUACGGGAUAAUAUAUUUGAGAGGCAUCCCUGGAAUAUCAUCAGUGAGCCAGUAAAGGAUGGACCCGCGUCUGGUUAGCUAGUUGGUAAGGUAAAGGCUUACCAAGGCGACGAUCAGUAGCCGACCUGAGAGGGUGAUCGGCCACAUUGGAACUGAGACACGG
rnacentral:rRNA from 1 species